rnacentral:misc_RNA from 1 species
UCCGGUUUAUCACCGGCAGUCUCCAUAGAGUUCUCGCCAUUACGCGUUAGUAACUAUGAACAAGGGUUGCGCUCGUUGCGGGACUUAACCCAACAUCUCACGACACGAGCUGACGACAGCCAUGCAGCACCUGUGUCCAGGUUCCCUUUCGGGCACACCUCCAUCUCUGGAGGCUUCCUGGCAUGUCAAGGGUAGGUAAGGUUUUUCGCGUUGCAUCGAAUUAAUCCACAUAAUCCACCGCUUGUGCGGGUCCCCGUCAAUUCCUUUGAGUUUUAAUCUUGCGACCGUACUCCCCAGGCGGUCGACUUCACGCGUUAGCUGCGUUACCGAAGGAGUUACCCUCCGACAACUAGUCGACAUCGUUUAGGGCGUGGACUAC